UGCCAGCCGCCGCGGUAAUACUGAAGGUGCAAGCGUUAAUCGGAAUCACUGGGCGUAAAGCGCGCGUAGGCGGCUAUUUAAGUCAGAUGUGAAAGUCCACGGCUCAACUGUGGAAGUGCAUUUGAAACUGGAUAGCUUGAGUACUGGAGGGGGUGGUGGAAUUCCCGGUGUAGAGGUGAAAUUCGUAGAUAUCGGGAGGAAUACCGGUGGCGAAGGCGACCACCUGGCCAGAUACUGACGCUGAGGUGCGAAAGCGUGGGCAGCAAACAGCAUUAGAUA
rnacentral:rRNA from 1 species